CCUACGGGGCGCUGCAGUGAGGAAUAUUGGUCAAUGGCCGAGAGGCUGAACCAGCCAAGUCGCGUGAGGGAAGACGGCCCUACGGGUUGUAAACCUCUUUUGUCGGGGAGCAAAGCGAACCACGUGUGGUUCAUUGCGAGUACCCGACGAACAAGCAUCGGCUAACUCCGUGCCAGCAGCCGCGGUAAUACGGAGGAUGCGGGCGUUAUCCGGAUUUAUUGGGUUUAAAGGGUGCGCAGGCGGAGGUGCAAGUCAGCGGUCAAAUUGCGGGGCUCAACCCCGUACCGCCGUUGAAACUGCAGCCCUUGAGUGCGCGAGAAGUAUGCGGAAUGCGUGGUGUAGCGGUGAAAUGCAUAGAUAUCACGCAGAACUCCGAUUGCGAAGGCAGCAUACCGGCGCGCAACUGACGCUCAUGCACGAAAGCGUGGGUAUCGAACAGGAUUAGAUACCCCAGUAGUC
rnacentral:rRNA from 1 species